UACGUAGGGUGCGAGCGUUGUCCGGAAUUAUUGGGCGUAAAGGGCUCGUAGGCGGUUUGUUGCGUCGGCUGUGAAAUCCCGAGGCUCAACCUCGGGUCUGCAGUCGAUACGAGCAAACUAGAGUGUUGCAGGGGAGACUGGAAUUCCUGGUGUAGCGGUGAAAUGCGCAGAUAUCAGGAGGAACACCGGUGGCGAAGGCGGGUCUCUGGGCAACAACUGACGCUGAGGAGCGAAAGCGUGGGGAGCGAACAGG
rnacentral:rRNA from 1 species